rnacentral:rRNA from 1 species
CUCACCAAGGCGACGACGGGUAGCCGGCCUGAGAGGGUGACCGGCCACACUGGGACUGAGACACGGCCCAGACUCCUACGGGAGGCAGCAGUGGGGAAUAUUGCACAAUGGGCGAAAGCCUGAUGCAGCGACGCCGCGUGAGGGAUGACGGCCUUCGGGUUGUAAACCUCUUUCAGUAGGGAACAAGGCCAGUGUUUAGCUGGUUGAGGGUACUUGCAGAAGAAGCGCCGGCUAACUACGUGCCAGCAGCCGCGGUAAUACGUAGGGCGCAAGCGUUAUCCGGAAUUAUUGGGCGUAAAGAGCUCGUAGGCGGUUUGUCGCGUCUGCCGUGAAAGUCCGGGGCUCAACUCCGGAUCUGCGGUGGGUACGGGCAGACUAGAGUGAUGUAGGGGAGACUGGGAUUCCUGGUGUAGCGGUGAAAUGCGCAGAUAUCAGGAGGAACACCGAUGGCGAAGGCAGGUCUCUGGGCAUUAACUGACGCUGAGGAGCGAAAGCAUGGGGAGCGAACAGGAUUAGAUACCCUGGUAGUCCAUGCCGUAAACGUUGGGCACUAGGUGUGGGGGACAUUCCACGUUUUCCGCGCCGUAGCUAACGCAUUAAGUGCCCCGCCUGGGGAGUACGGCCGCAAGGCUAAAACUCAAAGGAAUUGACGGGGGCCCGCACAAGCGGCGGAGCAUGCGGAUUAAUUCGAUGCAACGCGAAGAACCUUACCAAGGCUUGACAUGAACUGGAAAUACCUGGAAACAGGUGCCCCGCUUGCGGUCGGUUUACAGGUGGUGCAUGGUUGUCGUCAGCCCGUGUCGUGAGAUGUUGGGUUAAGUCCCGCAACGAGCGCAACCCUCGUUCUAUGUUGCCAGCACGUUAUGGUGGGGACUCAUAGGAGACUGCCGGGGUCAACUCGGAGGAAGGUGAGGACGACGUCAAAUCAUCAUGCCCCUUAUGUCUUGGGCUUCACGCAUGCUACAAUGGCCGGUACAAUGGGUUGCGAUACUGUGAGGUGGAGCUAAUCCCAAAAAGCCGGUCUCAGUUCGGAUUGGGGUCUGCAACUCGACCCCAUGAAGUCGGAGUCGCUAGUAAUCGCAGAUCAGCAACGCUGCGGUGAAUACGUUCCCGGGCCUUGUACACACCGCCCGUCAAGUCACGAAAGUUGGUAACACCCGAAGCCGGU